rnacentral:rRNA from 1 species
CAGCCGCCGCGGUAAUACGUAGGUGGCAAGCGUUGUCCGGAAUUAUUGGGCGUAAAGGGCUCGCAGGCGGUUUCUUAAGUCUGAUGUGAAAGCCCCCGGCUCAACCGGGGAGGGUCAUUGGAAACUGGGAAACUUGAGUGCAGAAGAGGAGAGUGGAAUUCCACGUGUAGCGGUGAAAUGCGUAGAGACGUGGAGGAACACCAGUGGCGAAGGCGACUCUCUGGUCUGUAACUGACGCUGAGGAGCGAAAGCGUGGGGAGCGAACAGGAUUAGAUACCCCCGUAGUCCCUGUCUCUUAUAC